GAUGAACGCUGGCGGCGUGCCUAAUACAUGCAAGUCGAGCGAACAGACGAGGAGCUUGCUCCUCUGACGUUAGCGGCGGACGGGUGAGUAACACGUGGAUAACCUACCUAUAAGACUGGGAUAACUUCGGGAAACCGGAGCUAAUACCGGAUCAUAUAUUGAACGGCAUGGUUCAAUAGUGAAAGACGGUUUUGCUGUCACUUAUAGAUGGAUCCGCGCUGGAUUAGCUAGUUGGUAAGGUAACGGCCUACCAAGGCAACGAUGCGUAGCCGACCUGAGAGGGUGAUCGGCCACACUGGAACUGAGACACGGUCCAGACUCCUACGGGAGGCAGCAGUAGGGAAUCUUCCGCAAUGGGCGAAAGCCUGACGGAGCAACGCCGCGUGAGUGAUGAAGGUCUUCGGAUCGUAUAACUCUGUUAUUAGGGAAGAACAAAUGUGUAAGUAACUAUGCACGUCUUGACGGUACCUAAUCAGAAAGCCACGGCUAACUACGUG
rnacentral:rRNA from 1 species